rnacentral:hammerhead_ribozyme from 1 species
GUACUGACGAAGAGUCCCGGAGUAGGACGAAACAGCUGUCGAGUAC